rnacentral:rRNA from 1 species
ACUCAAAUGAAUAGACGGGGGCCCGCACAAGCGGUGGAGCAUGUGGUUUAAUUCGACGCAACGCGAAGAACCUUACCUGGGCUCGAAAUGUACGGGACACGUGUAGAAAUACAUUCUCCUAGCAAUAGGUCCGUAUAUAGGUGCUGCAUGGCUGUCGUCAGCUCGUGUCGUGAGAUGUUGGGUUAAGUCCCGCAACGAGCGCAACCCUUACCUCUAGUUGCUACCAUUUAGUUGAGCACUCUAGCGGAACCGCUUCGGAUAACGGAGAGGAAGGUGGGGAUGACGUCAAGUCCUCAUGGCCUGUAUGUCCAGGGCUACACACGUGCUACAAUGGCCGGUACAAACCGCUGCAACCCCGCGAGGGUGAGCUAAUCGGAAAAAGCCGGCCUCAGUUCGGAUUGGAGUCUGCAACUCGACUCCAUGAAGCUGGAAUCGCUAGUAAUCGUGGAUCAGCAUGCCACGGUGAAUACGUUCCCGGGCCUUGUACACACCGCCCGU